rnacentral:rRNA from 1 species
CCUACGGGAGGCAGCAGUGAGGAAUAUUGGUCAAUGGGCGCGAGCCUGAACCAGCCAAGUCGCGUGAGGGAAGACGGUCCUAUGGAUUGUAAACCUCUUUUGUCGGGGAGCAAAAGACGCCACGCGUGGCGUUCCGAGAGUACCCGAAGAAAAAGCAUCGGCUAACUCCGUGCCAGCAGCCGCGGUAAUACGGAGGAUGCGAGCGUUAUCCGGAUUUAUUGGGUUUAAAGGGUGCGCAGGCGGAAGAUCAAGUCAGCGGUAAAAUUGAGAGGCUCAACCUCUGCGAGCCGUUGAAACUGGUUGGCUUGAGUGAGUGAGAAGUAGGCGGAAUGCGUGGUGUAGCGGUGAAAUGCAUAGAUAUCACGCAGAACUCCGAUUGCGGAGGCAGCAUACCGGCGCUCAACUGACGCUCAUGCACGAAAGUGUGGGUAUCGAACAGGAUUAGAUACCCGGGUAGUC